rnacentral:rRNA from 1 species
GACGAACGCUGGCGGCGUGCUUAACACAUGCAAGUCGAACGGAAAGGCCCUGCUUUUGUGGGGUGCUCGAGUGGCGAACGGGUGAGUAACACGUGAGUGACCUGCCCUUGACUUUGGGAUAACUUCAGGAAACUGGGGCUAAUACCGGAUAGGAGCUCCUGCUGCAUGGUGGGGGUUGGAAAGUUUCGGCGGUUGGGGAUGGACUCGCGGCUUAUCAGCUUGUUGGUGGGGUAGUGGCUUACCAAGGCUUUGACGGGUAGCCGGCCUGAGAGGGUGACCGGCCACAUUGGGACUGAGAUACGGCCCAGACUCCUACGGGAGGCAGCAGUGGGGAAUAUUGCACAAUGGGCGGAAGCCUGAUGCAGCAACGCCGCGUGCGGGAUGACGGCCCUCGGGUUGUAAACCGCUUUCGCCUGUGACGAAGCGUGAGUGACGGUAAUGGGUAAAGAAGCACCGGCUAACUACGUG